GGUACGAGUCACUGACAUAUGAUGCAUUUUGUUAUUUUUUUAUCUCUGUUUUGACUGAUAUUAAGCGUCAAAUGCCUCUGAUCAUCCUGCAGACACAGUGAUAUGUGUAGAGUCUGUUAAUUCAGCUCAGUAUUCUUUUUCAGCAGCUUACACUGUUUAUUUUGAUGUUAGACAUUUCCUUUGGACCAUGGGCUGCGUCACUACUCUGUUAAAAAAAACAAUGAGAGCUGAACUCUUCCUCUGAAGAUGCUCUUUCAUUUAUUUUGGUUGAACUGUUUAUGUAUUUUGAUUUCCAGAGAUCCAGACGUGCUGUUGUUACCAAGUCUCACUCCUGAUAGACUGUAGUUUUCUCUGGUUUUUAGCUCCCAGUUUACCUGUACAACCAGGUAACCACCAGGUAAUCCCUCAUCCUCUCUAGUUAGCUCAGUUUAUGCUUUCCGUCUGUGCAUCAAUCAUAAUUAAAACAAGAAUUGUGUGACGUUCUUACUUUUUACAUUCUUUAAAUAUUGGUCAACUUUUACGGCUGUACAUGCAGUUGAGUAAAAACUUCAAUUAGCCCUGAAAGACUUUUACAGUAACAUAUAGGAUGUAAAUAUCUUAUUUUACUUUAAAUUUUCCCAUUAACAACAUAAAUCUUAGGUGUCAAAUUGCUGCAUUAUAUGUCUCAUGUCAAAGAAUCGUUAGAAGUUGAUUGCUGAGAGGUGGAUUAAAAAAGAAUACAGUAUUAGUCAGUCUCACCCUUUAUUCACAUUUUCCCUGAUAGUGAGUGUUUAUUCUAACCCACCAGUCGGCAUCUGGGUGGAUUCUGCACCUCACUGUGAGCGGCUGUUUGUCAGGGUCAGAUAGUUGGAGGGCUCUGGGCUUACCAUGGCAGUGGGCAUUCGUGCUAUCUCUGGCACAGCUUUUAUUGAACUGUUUACUGAGAGAGGGAGAGUGACUGAAGAAUGGAGUAAAGAAUGGAGGGAGAGAGAAAGGGAUGGGGGAGGGGAGGCGGCGGCUGUGUGGGCGUUUGAUGCCCUCCAUCUUUCUCUGUCAGCAUGGUUUCUCCUCUGUAUCUAAUCCUGCCAGGACACCAGCUGCUCCCACAGUGGCACCACCUCAGGCCCAGACACUUCCUCUCACCACCUCUCCCCUCUCUCCCCCUCUCCCUCCUAUCCCGCCCGGCCCGCUUUCUGGUGGGACCCCUGUGGCCAUGCUGGGGUCUGUGGAGCCAAGUUCACACUGAAGGAAUGAUUGCAAUGACAGUGGUGUUUCUUUGCUCGUCUGCAGGGAACAGCUUUGAUCCCGUCUGCAUCAGUGAGCAGCAGCGACAGACGGGAUAAUCGACUUGCUGAAUGGCUGGACCAAUCACAAGAGGCAAAGCAUUCAGUGUUCAGAGUGUUUCUAUUCCUGUACAGCAUCUUAAGACACUUUAAAGGUAGUCUACGAGUGAAAGACAAACACAAGAAGCAACCUCAGGUGUUAAAAAUGCAGCACAUGGAGAGCUGCAAAAAAACUGCAGUCCUUCAAGUGACCACUGGAGGCUGUCUGUAAAAGUCGAGGAAUUAGAUUUUAUGCUGAAUUAUUCAUCUCUUUGAAAAAACAAAAAAACAAAACAAAACAUGUUUACAGCCUGGAUUUGGUUUCAUCAGCUUCUUCACAUAAAACACGUUUUUUGUAAGGGGCUGGAGAUGGGAUUAUUGUGGGGUCAUGGAGAAAGAAUAUUUUUCGUCAAGUCACUUUAAAUAUAACAUAAAACUUAAGUCAGUCAAGGCAUCGCUAUAAGGCGCAGUCUUUUUAGAGCAAGGCUCCAAUAAAAUGUCUUUAGUCAAGUCCCAAGUCACUUUAAACAAGUCCAAUAUCAUUCGUAAUAGGACCAAAUCAAGUCCCAGUCAAAGCAAGUAACACAAUUCCCCACAAGUUUGCUGCAUUAAGUCUCAAGUCUCCAAAUGUUGAUAGCAUCAACUCAAAAAACAUUCUAUAUGCGACAUUAGAAAAUCAUAUGUAAACUGAUUUAUGGAAUUAAACCCUUAUAUUUGUAUGUUAAUCAUUACAGUCAUUUAAUAUUUACAAACUGUGAAGCUCUUACUCAUCACCCUAAGUUACAAUUCCAGGUUGUUUGGUGGUCUCUGGCACUUUGAAGGCUAACACAUUGUUACAUCUUUAUUUAUAAGGCAAGUCUUGGUCUGCUUCCACACUGCCUUUGUGUAUUUAUCACACAGAAAAAGUGCUGGACAGUAUUCAUUGUGCUCCCAGGACUUCUUUAUGUUCUCUGUCCCCGGAGCUCAUACAUAAAUUAGUAAAAGGGCUUUUGGGUUUUGUGCACCUUCAGCCUUGAAAGUAUUACAGAAUGACUUGAAUUUCAAGGAUCUGGAGUCAGUCUUGGCAAGGUCUCCCUUGAAAAGGAGAUUUUUCAUCUCAAUGGGUUCAACCUGGUUUCAAAAUGAAUAAAUGAUUAAAAAAAUAAAAACCUGUACUGCACCAAUCCAUGCAGUUGUGGUCAGAUUAACUACAUGAACAGUGAGGUUUCCUUUUCCAUAAUAUUUUAACCAUAAAAAGUAAUAUUACUGAGUAGAGAUCAGGCACUGAAUCUGGACAAUAUUUUAGAGCAGCAUAAGAAGUUUAACAGCAUCAGAUUAAUGCAAACAUAUGGCAGCUUCACUAAACAUUAUUUUUUAAUUGUUAAUUUCUAUCAUUUUACUAAUUAACCGUGUAAACCAUCUGGAUGCAGACUGUGCUCACAACGUGAAACUGUGCAGCAUCAAAAAACAAUCUGAGUCCACAGAGAGGCUGAUUUGUUCCUCUUUUAAUGUUAUUGAACAGCAGACACCAGCACCGAGCGAUGAAACGGGGGUGCAAGUUGGACUGGUUUAGGUCUCUUUACCUCAUUUCACUAUUCGUGUCAGCAGUGUGAAGGGGUUAUUAUUCACCAAUUUUGAUGCUUUAAAAGUUAUGUGAAAUCAACAAUAAAUAUACGGUCUUUGAUUUAAUUUGGGCUUCAUAUUGCUUCCCCAGAGAUUUGUGAAUUUAAACAAGUCCCGUACACAGCUGAGAAGUGUUCCUCUGUAUUAUUUGUUUUGUGUCACAGUCAAUAUUUAGUGUUUUAUAUGCAAGUCAGUCAUUUUCUUUUUAAAUCUGUGCUAAUCACUUAGAAAUCAUUUAGUCACCGAUGUAUAAUUAUGGUCCGUGUGAAAGCUCCUCUUGAUCACUGCUGUCAGGGGUGGCAGGUAAUGUAGGCUGAGGGUCUGUGUGUGUGUGUGUGUUGUUUUUGUUGCAGCCAAUGGGUAAGCUCAAUAAACACUCAUCAUAUCCACGUAGCCUAUCACAUUAUAACUUGUCAGCAAAGCAUCUUAUCAGUCAACAUCCCACCAAUCACAGAGAACCAAGCACGUCUUUGAAAGUUACAGCUAGUUAGUGUUUUAUUCAGCCAGCCAUGGAUAUACAAAAAUUUGGACCGGACUCACAAUAAAAUUAGGCUAACUGACCUGGGAGAAAAAAACAGUGGCCUAUCUCAGCCCAUCCUGCCGGAGUAUCUGAAAACAUUUUUUGGGAAACAGAGGUUUUUUUCCGACUAUUUCAAAACCUGCAACUUUAAAGAAUACAGUAAAGAGGCUGACUGUGUAUUUUGUUUUCCAUGCCGGGACUUCCAGUGCGGCAGUGGCCAUAGAGACGCCGCUUUGGUAACUAACAGUGUAUGGAACAUGGAAAAUAUUUUCGAUAGGCUACAGAGACAUGCUGAAUCUGCAUCACAUUGGCAACACAUAGAGCAAUGGCAGGGUUAUUUGGAAUCAAAAACUGCUGGAUCUGUUGCUGCCAAGUCAAGUGACAGUAAUGGUCAUAUUCACAUUGUCCUUUCAGGUUUUUAAAACAAGUAUGAUCGGUGGUCAGACUUAGCAUUCCCAGACCUCAGCCUCAACCGCUGCCAAAGACUGCUGCCCAUCUUUUCUUUCAUUAAACUCCAGCAAUGUUUUAGAGAUUUAAUAAAAUAUGGGCUGCUGCACGUGUCAAUCAGUGAGUGAUAUUGGAUACAGGGAAACGACAUCUGCAAAGACUGCUCUCGUGUAUCCUCUUUUAUUGCUCCUUCUAAUUCCCUCCUCUUUCCUUGAUCCUUUCUCCAAGCCUCAAAAACAGCUCCUUAAAACGGUGGGUCCAUAACCACUACCAGUUCACCCAAAGAUUCAGGAACAAGACUCAGGACCAAGGACAGAGGAAACAGCGUUUUAGAGAACUAUAGUUCUAUCAGUCAGAUCAGGUCAGAAUACUCACAGCAGCAACAGCUGAUUGUUGGUGUCAUCCUUUUUUUUAAAUAAACUAAAAAAAAAAAAAAAAAGCUAAAACACAAUGAAAGCCUAGGACACAAUGAAGGAUUUUUAGAAUCUUACAGAUUAUUAAAAACAUCAGAGACAACAAACAUGACAACAAAUGAUGACAGAUUUAACAGGUUUCACUCUGAUGAGUAAUCACAGAGAUCUUAAAGUCCCACUCUGAUCGGUUUUUCUUUUUUUAAUACUUAAAAAGUUCUCAGUGGUCUCACCUCCCUUUGUAAUUUUGUUUGUGAUGUUUUUUUUGCUAAACAUAUUGUGUAAACACAUGUUGCUGUCAUAUGUCAAUGGGUUGAUUCUAUAUUUAGGACGUCCAUCUCUGUUGAUGUGUUGUGAUUACUUUUGUUGCCAUGGUUGCAUUUCCACAUGACAAUGGACAGAGUGCAUGAGCGCAUGGCUUUUUCUGAACCCAAAAGCAGAACCGGAGGCAUAUGAAGCAUUGAAGAGAAUUUAUUGAUUGGAGAAAAUGGAGGGAAGGGAUCCAGGGUCCUAAGCGUGAGGAGUGAAUCCAGGGAGUAAUAAGGGCUGGAGGUGUGAGGGCUUGUGGCCAAAGCAGGUGAGUGGUUUUCAGAGAGACUGUGGCAGCGUAGCAGAGAUUGGGCGAAUCUUACUGGGGCUUGUGGAGGCACUGGAAGAAAAGUAGAAAAGACACCAGUAAGUCACAGGGGAUGCACACAAAAAUAGGCAAUGUUCAACAGGUAGCAAAACACGCAAGGACUCCAGCAGAGUAGGCCAAUGUACCACAUGAGAUGUAGGAAAAAUCUGGCACCGCAGGGGCAGCUGGUGAUUGCAGUGAUUAGGUGCAGGUGUGAAGGUGCAGGGAGGAAAUGCCCAGUCUCUGCUAAGAAAAAGGCCCAAUCCCAAACCGACCCCUACAUACUCGCCCUUCACAACUGAGUAUCACUUGUAAUGAAGUUACACUCCCAGCUCUGGAGUGCGCCUCAAUUGAAACGCCAAGCAGCCUGCUGCGUCAUCAGCCUGCCUCACACCAUGAGCACAAAAUGAAGAGUCUUCAGAGUCAGACAACAUCACGUUCAACAACGUUUAUUUUCUAAACUAGACUUAAACUUUGCUCUUUAUUCUCACCGACAUCGCUCUGGCUGAUCGCAUGUGGAGAUUCACUCUGAGGAAGUUAACUCAUGAUGCCAUGCAUGCUGCAGGCCAGCGCUGCGAGCCCAGAGCAGCGAGCCAGGCAAAAAGAGUCCGCACGCAAGCGAUCCACACAUUUUAGCGUGUUUAAUGCACAGUUGUGCUCUUUUUUUUCACUUUUUUCUUUUUUUUUUCAGAAUAAACAAAUAUUAUUUACUAAACGGAUAGUAAGAACAGCCCCAUUCACACGAAUAUCGGAAUAACCACGCACAUCCCUAAAAGAUUCAAUGCCAUAGCAACACAAAGACACGUCCUGUGCAUAGCAGCAUUUCUUUUCUUAGUAAACAGCCAUCAUGUACAGUUCUGAGCCACACUGGCUUUCUCGUUUUUUUUCAUUGUCCCAGUGAAAUCCUAAAUCCAGUAACCAUUACAGUGACAGGAGCUAAAUUAUACUUCUGAUUGUUAGUGAUUCCACACGUCUUUGAACCCCUUUACUAUUUGACAUGUGCCUGCACAAUCAAAUCAAACCUCAGCACAGAGUAAGAUUUUUGAGUUUAAUUUGAUCUUUCCAAAUCACGUCUUUUGUUUUGUUUUGUUUUUUGUUUUUAUUUUGUCAGUGAGACAAAGAUGGACACAUACGGAACUUACAUUUGUAUGUUGUUUCCUCCUUCUCCAUUUUUUCCGGCGCACUACCUGCAAAUCCUGUUGCGAGUGUGCACCGUUGCGGACUCGCUAUCUGAGGGCUGGAUGGUCCACUCACUCUCCGCACGCUGUGGUUUGUGAUGGCCCCAAAUAUGGCAGAGCCUCUGCAGGGACGCGCAAACGGAGGGGGAGUGUGUAGGGUAAGUGUGUAGGGGGCGGUUUGGGAUUGGGCCAAACACACACACACACACACACUCCACACAAGAAACAGUAACUCAGGAACACACCAAAAUAAAACCAAAAUGCCACAAUCCCCACGAGUUUCCUGUAUAGAUCAGGAGCUCAAGUGUUUGUUGCAUGUGAAUCCAGGUUACAUGUUAAAGCUCUCUUGAAGACUUAAAAACAGGCAACUGGACUGUGUAGAGUUGCGUGCUUUUAAGUCUUCAAGAUAACCAUGACCUGGAUGAAUGAGAAUCUACAUGGACAUGUUAAAGCUCUGUUCACUUAAAUAGAUGUCACAGCCUGCUUCAGCGCUGCUGGCUGUUGAAGUUGACAGACAAGUGGAGUUAAGAGUGGCAGGUAGAGACUGGCAUCAUGUUUGUCUGCCCUCCAACAGUGAGCUGUGACUGGAUGCUGCUGGUUGUCUGCUCUGUCACUCUGAUACUGUGAUCGCCCGUCAGACUCCUCUUUGAGACCCUUCUGUUUCUUAACUUAGAAGGAUCAAUAUGCUGCAGCUCGGGGCGAUGGCAGGGUGAGGAGGAAGGGGAGGUGUGAGGGGCCUGGGUUGGCGUCUUGGUUGGUAUUUUAUGAGCUCAGUGCAGAGAAACUGUAAAAUAGUCUUGUUUAAAUAUUAUCUCAGUUUAAAACACAGAACUAACAUCUACUUAAUGAAAGGAAAACAACAGCAGUCUCUCUGAGGAGGCAUAAAUCCCUAUUUUUCAGACGGGUGUACAUGUGUGCUGUGUAUUAUUAGUGCCUUUGCUCUCUGUGUGUGUCCUGUUUCAGAAAGAUGCUCUUACAUUCCUCCUCGCUCAUUUAAGAGCUGUUUAGUUGUUUUUUUUCUCUUCUUUGUUAUUCUCUUGUUUUGUCUCCCCUCGUCUUUUCUCUCCUCUG